rnacentral:rRNA from 1 species
UCCCUAGGUGANACCUGCGGAAGGAUCAAUUACACGAUUGAAAUUUCAAAAACUUGCAACUUACUGUGGAGGCUUGCCUCUUUUGUGUCUAACCCUUUUUUUCAAUCUUGAAUCCAAGACAGAUAUCUAAAAGUUUCUCACAACUUUUGGCGAUGGAUGUCUCGGCUCGAACAACGAUGAAGGACGCCGCUAAAUGCGAUAAGCGUUGUGAAUGGCAGAAUUCCGCGAAUCAAAAGAAAGCUGAACGCAUACUGCGCUUUUAGGAUCACCCUAAGAGCAUGCUUGGUUCAGAACGUUUACACAUUUAUAUCACGAAACAAAAUUCGCAUUGCGCGAUUGGUGUUUGUGGUGUUCUCAUGUGUCAGUGACGAGUUUGCCUAUUGGUGAUCUAUCCAUUGACGCAUCAGAUUUAGUGGCAAGUGUUGCGGAUGCAUGUCUUUCUGUCCGGCGAAUCUUUUAGGUUUCAUGGCAGAUCCUGCAAGUGCGAUGCGUUCAAUUGCUACGUCAAAGCGAAUUUAAUCUUUGCGUAUGAACUCAAGUAGGGCUACCCGCUGAAUUUAAGCAUAUCAAUA